UAGCGUGGGAAGGCGAGACAGUUAACAACGUCAUUCUAGUGUCCGGCGGAAGCGGCCGUUACGCCGUGGACGCCCCGAAAGGAGUGUCGGCGACAGUGCUAGACGGGGCGUUGAGUGUCAACGUGCCCGGGCCCGGGUCAUACGAUCUGCUGAUAACGGACCUGUGCGUGCAGGGAGAGAAACAGUUCGUUGAGGUCCACGUAGAAGAAAUCCUCAGCGUAGAGGUGUCAACUUCAAGAGCAGUUUGCGUCGGAGGCUGCGUGCCAAUUACCGCUCUAGUGAAGGGCGUGUCCCACCGAUACCUCACCACAAGCCACGCCCCCGAGUGGCGAGUGAGCGGCGACGUGCUAGUGAGAGAUGGCACGAUCUGUGGCCUAAAAGAAGGAACGGGACGGGUGCGAGCAUCUUUGGGCGGCGUGUGGAGUCCUGAAGUUGAGGUCCUAGUGUUCCCGCCUCUCCGCAUUAUUCCUGACACUGCAAGACUGCCGCCCGGCGCCCGCCUACAGCUGCGGCACCAGGGCGGGCCGCCCGCCCAUCUUGCCUCGCUGCAUUAUAGAGCCGUGGCCAAGCAUAA